UCGAGUUACUCCGGAACACAGUGUUUAUUCUGUGUUUAGUCACGCCGCGUCAAAAAUGUUCCACAGGGUUACUUCCGGUUUAUCGUUGUUUACCUUUGUUUACCAACAGUCGACACUUCGUGUAUUAGGCCUAGGCUUAAUUUUGUCGAUCAUCAUGAAAUUGAAAUACACAUUUAAUAGUUUGGGGUGUAUGCGGUACAUAUUUGUUUAUGAGCGUUUGAUAAGCUACUAUUGAUCUACGAAAUACAACGAAAGACUUCGUCAAGAACAGAAGAAGACGAUGUCGUGUAACUCGCACAAGGCCCAGCUGUCUAGUAACCGGAGGGGUAAAGGAAAAGAACGUAUUAGACUCACUGAAACCUGUCAAACAGGUAUAUGGGAACAGGAUCAUUUUCCAUGCCUUUCACUUGAGGUCUUCAGUUUCAUCAUUAAUCAUCUGAAUGUCGGUAUGCCAAACUCUCAUGAUGUCAUGCCAUUACUGGAUAUUCCUUAACACUGGUUUAUUUAAGCCACACUACCUAUAACAUUGCCAAAAUAUUAGACUGAAAAUUUUCAAAUACACAAGAUUUGAAGCAGCAAAAGAAAAGAAUUACAUAUGUAUAACACACAAAAAAGAAGAAAUUAAUUCUCACCUGGCUGAUAUGAACUUUUUACUCCUUUUUAGCUCCCUUUCACUGCAUACCAGCCAAUAACUAGCAGUCAUUAUAUGCAGAUCAGCCAUUGUUAUCAACCUGUGUAUAUAUAUGUUGAAUAAAAUAUGAAUGAAAA